GCUGAAAUAGUUUAGAUGGAUAAAACAUACCUCUCAUGAGGGUGAGUCAAAGGUUCGACUCCUUUUUUCAGUA
rnacentral:tRNA from 1 species